rnacentral:snRNA from 1 species
AUACCUUUCUCGGCCUUUUGGCUAAGAUCAAGUGUAGUAUCUGUUCUUAUCAGUUUAAUAUCUGAUAUGUGGUCCAUUGGAUCACACGAUAUUAAAUUACUUUUUUGAGGGGUAGGAGCCACU